AGCGCAGUGCUUUGCGGUGCGGA
rnacentral:misc_RNA from 1 species